rnacentral:rRNA from 1 species
UUUGAUAAAAUAUUAAUUUUCUUUUUUUAAUUAAAGUAAUAUUAGUUUUUUUUAUUUAGUAAAGUGUAAAGAAAUAUUUAUGUUAAUUAUAGUUAAUAAGUAUAGUAAUAUAUUAUUGAAAUAUUUUGAAUAUUUUGGGAAAGAAGAGUAUUUGUACCUUUUGUAUCAGGGUAUAUUAAAUUAUAUUAAUGAAUUUUAUUAUCUCGAAUUUAAAAGAGUUAUAUUAAUACAUUGGUUAUUGUGAUAUAAAUAUCAAUAAUGUUAAUAUAGUGAUGAAAUGUUAUUCGAUUUUAAAGAUAUCUAGUUUUUUUAGAUUCAAUUUAAUUGAGAUGUAUAUAGAUUAUUAUUAUAUUUAUGAUAUAUAUAUAUAUAUAUAUAAAAAAAAUAAUUAUUUAUAUGUUAAUUAUAUUAGGGAUAAGCUUGAUAUAAUAAAUUAUGAUUGUAUUUAAUGUGAUUUAUGAGCUUUAAGAUAGUUAUUAUUGAAAAAUGUUAUAAUUUAUUUAUUAUUGAUUUUUUUUUCAUAUUAAAUUAUAUAAAAAUGUUAUAAUUAAUUUGUAUUAUAAAUAAUAAUGAUGUAAUUAGUAAAUUAAAUAAUUUAUAAUAUAAUUUAUGUUAGAAUUAAUUAUAAGGAAUUAGGCAAAAAUAUUAUUCGCCUGUUUAUCAAAAACAUGUCUUCUUGGAAAUAUAAGAAGUCGUAUCUGCUCACUGAUGAAUUAAAGAGCCGCGGUAAUUUGACCGUGCAAAGGUAGCAUAAUAAUUAGUCUUUUAAUUGAAGGCUGGAAUGAAAGAUUUGACGAGAUAAUAUCUGUCUCAUGAUUAUAAAUUGAAUUUUAUUUUUAAGUUAAAAAGCUUAAAUGAAUAUAAGGGACGAGAAGACCCUAUAGAUCUUAAUAAUUAUUAAUUAUUUAAAUAUAUGGAUAAAUGAAUUUAUUUAGUUGAAAUAUUAUUUGAUUGGGGUGAUUAGGAAAUAUAUUAACUUUUUUUGAUAAUAAACUUUGAUAAAAGAAUUUAAGAUCCUUUAUUAUGGAUUAUAAGAUUUAGAUACCUUAGGGAUAACAGCGUUAUUUUAUUUGAGAGUUCUUAUUAACAAUAAAGAUUACGACCUCGAUGUUGGAUUAAGAUUAUAAAUUGGUGCAGAAUUUAAUUUGGUUAGUCUGUUCGACUAUUAAAAUCUUACAUGAUCUGAGUUCAAACCGGUGUAAGCCAGGUUGGUUUCUAUCUUUAUGUAAUGUUUAUACUUUAGUACGAAAGGAUUAAGUAUAAUAAAUAAUUUAUUGUUUUUUGAAUGAAAUUAAUAU